UGUAGUGGUUAAAAGCUCGUAGUUGAACCUAGGGCCUGGCUGGCCGGUCCGCCUCACCGCGUGCACUGGUCCGGCCGGGCCUUUCCCUCUGUGGAACCCCAUACCCUUCACUGGGCGUGGCGGGGAAACAGGACAUUUACUUUGAAAAAAUUAGAGUGCUCCAGGCAGGCCUAUGCUCGAAUACAUUAGCAUGGAAUAAUAAAAUAGGACGCGCGGUUCUAUUUUGUUGGUUUAUAGGACCGCCGUAAUGAUUAAUAGGGACAGUCGGGGGCAUCAGUAUUCAACUGUCAGAGGUGAAAUUCUUGGAUCAGUUGAAGACUAACUACUGCGAAAGCAUUUGCCAAGGAUGUUUUCAUUAAUCAGGAACGAAAGUUAGGGGAUCGAAGACGAUCAGAUACCGUCGUAGUCUUAACCAUAAACUAUGCCGACUAGGGAUCGGACGGUGUUAUUCAUGACCCGUUCGGCACCUUACGAGAAAUCAAAGUGCUUGGGCUCCAGGGGGAGUAUGGUCGCAAGGCUGAAACUUAAAGAAAUUGACGGAAGGGCACCACCAGGGGUGGAGCCUGCGGCUUAAUUUGACUCAACACGGGGAAACUCACCAGGUCCAGACACAAUAAGGAUUGACAGAUUGAGAGCUCUUUCUUGAUUUUGUGGGUGGUGGUGCAUGGCCGUUCUUAGUUGGUGGGGUGACUUGUCUGCUUAAUUGCGAUAACGAACGAGACCUUAACCUGCUAAAUAGCCCGCAUUGCUCCGGCAGUGCGCUGGCUUCUUAGAGGGACUUUCGGCUCAAGCCGA
rnacentral:rRNA from 1 species